rnacentral:rRNA from 1 species
CCUUCGGGAGGCAGCAGUGAGGAAUAUUGGUCAAUGGGCUUACGCCUGAACCAGCCAAGUCGCGUGAGGGAAUAAUGCCCUACGGGUCGUAAACCUCUUUUGUCAGGGAGCAACGCCGGCUACGUGUCCCGGCACUGAGAGUACCCGGAGAAAAAGCAUCGGCUAACUCCGUGCCAGCAGCCGCGGUAAUACGGGGGAUGCGAGCGUUAUCCGGAUUUAUUGGGGUUAAAGGGUGCGUAGGCGGGAUUUUAAGUCAGCGGUAAAAAUUCGGGGCUCAACCCCGUCCCGCCGUUGAAACUGGCGUCCUUGAGUGGGCGAGAAGAAGGCGGAAUGCGUGGUGUAGCGGUGAAAUGCAUAGAUAUCACGCAGAACCCCGAUUGCGAAGGCAGCCUUCCGGCGCCCUACUGACGCUGAGGCACGAAAGUGCGGGGAUCGAACAGGAUUAGAUACCCCGGUAGUC